UACGGGGGGGGUAAGCGUUGUUCGGAAUUACUGGGCGUAAAGGGUGCGUAGGCGGUUGUUUAAGUCUGUCGUGAAAUCCCCGGGCUCAACCUGGGAAUGGCGAUGGAUACUGGGCAGCUAGAGUGUGUCAGAGGAUGGUGGAAUUCCCGGUGUAGCGGUGAAAUGCGUAGAGAUCGGGAGGAACAUCAGUGGCGAAGGCGGCCAUCUGGGACAACACUGACGCUGAAGCACGAAAGCGUGGGGAGCAAACAGG
rnacentral:rRNA from 1 species